rnacentral:rRNA from 1 species
AUUGAACGCUGGCGGCAGGCCUAACACAUGCAAGUCGAGCGGAUGAAGGGAGCUUGCUCCUGGAUUCAGCGGCGGACGGGUGAGUAAUGCCUGGGAAUCUGCCUGGUAGUGGGGGAUAACGUCCGGAAACGGGCGCUAAUACCGCAUACGUCCUGAGGGAGAAAGUGGGGGAUCUUCGGACCUCACGCUAUCAGAUGAGCCUAGGUCGGAUUAGCUAGUUGGUGGGGUAAAGGCCUACCAAGGCGACGAUCCGUAACUGGUCUGAGAGGAUGAUCAGUCACACUGGAACUGAGACACGGUCCAGACUCCUACGGGAGGCAGCAGUGGGGAAUAUUGGACAAUGGGCGAAAGCCUGAUCCAGCCAUACCGCGUGUGUGAAGAAGGUCUUCGGAUUGUAAAGCACUUUAAGUUGGGAGGAAGGGCAGUAAGUUAAUACCUUGCUGUUUUGACGUUACCAACAGAAUAAGCACCGGCUAACUUCGUG